ACCUGCCCACUGAAAUUUUGAAUGGCCGCAGUAAUUUGACUGUGCAAAGGUAGCAUAAUCAUUAGUUUUUUAAUUAAAAGCUUGUAUGAAGGGUUGGACGAGGUAAAAGCUGUCUCUAUUUAAUUUAAAAUAGAAUUUAAUUUUUAAGUUAAAAAGCUUAAAUAUUUUUAAAAGACGAGAAGACCCUAUAGAUCUUUAUAUUAUUUUUUUUAAUUUUAAUUAAGAAUAUUUUAUUUAUUAAUAAAAAUAAUAUUUUAUUGGGGUAAUAAAAAGAUUAAAAAAAUUCUUUUUUUAUUUUUACAUUAAUAAAUGAAUUUAUGAUCCAAUAAUAUUGAUUAAAAGAUUAAGUUACCUUAGGGAUAACAGCGUAAUUUUUUUAGAGAGUUCAUAUCGAUAAAAAAGUUUGCGACCUCGAUGUUGGAUUAAAAAUUAUCUUAGGUGCAGAAGUUUAAGAUUUUGGUCUGUUCGACCAUUGAAUUUU
rnacentral:rRNA from 1 species